CCUACGGGUGGCAGCAGUGGGGAAUAUUGCACAAUGGGCGCAAGCCUGAUGCAGCCAUGCCGCGUGUGUGAAGAAGGCCUUCGGGUUGUAAAGCACUUUCAGCGGGGAGGAAGGCGGUGAGGUUAAUAACCUCAUCGAUUGACGUUACCCGCAGAAGAAGCACCGGCUAACUCCGUGCCAGCAGCCGCGGUAAUACGGAGGGUGCAAGCGUUAAUCGGAAUUACUGGGCGUAAAGCGCACGCAGGCGGUCUGUCAAGUCGGAUGUGAAAUCCCCGGGCUCAACCUGGGAACUGCAUUCGAAACUGGCAGGCUAGAGUCUUGUAGAGGGGGGUAGAAUUCCAGGUGUAGCGGUGAAAUGCGUAGAGAUCUGGAGGAAUACCGGUGGCGAAGGCGGCCCCCUGGACAAAGACUGACGCUCCGGUGCGAAAGCGUGGGGAGCAAACAGGAUUAGAUACCCGUGUAGUC
rnacentral:rRNA from 1 species